GCAUAUCCAAUAAGCGGAGGAAAAGAAACCAACAGGGAUUGCCCUAGUAACGGCGAGUGAAGCGGCAACAGCUCAAAUUUGAAAGCUAGCCUUCGGGUUCGCAUUGUAAUUUGUAGAGGAUGCUUUGGGUAAAACGCCAGUCUAAGUUCCUUGGAACAGGACGUCAUAGAGGGUGAGAAUCCCGUAUGUGACUGGAAAUGUUAACCUAUGUAAAGCUCCUUCGACGAGUCGAGUUGUUUGGGAAUGCAGCUCUAAAUGGGAGGUAAAUUUCUUCUAAAGCUAAAUAUUGGCGAGAGACCGAUAGCGCACAAGUAGAGUGAUCGAAAGAUGAAAAGCACUUUGGAAAGAGAGUUAAAAAGCACGUGAAAUUGUUGAAAGGGAAGCGCUUGCAAUCAGACUUGUUUAAACUGUUCGGCCGGUCUUCUGACCGGUUUACUCAGUUUGGACAGGCCAGCAUCAGUUUCGGCGGCCGGAUAAAGGCUCUGGGAAUGUGGCCUCCACUUCGGUGGAGGUGUUAUAGCCCAGUGUGUAAUACGGCCAGCCGGGACUGAGGUCCGCGCU
rnacentral:rRNA from 1 species